rfam:Triticum urartu cultivar G1812 contig1057882, whole genome shotgun sequence.
AAUGUACUCCCUCCGUUCCAAACUACUCAUCGCAGAAAUGGAUGUAUCUAGAACUAAAAUACAUCUAGAUACAUCCAUACCUGCGACAAGUAAUUCAGAACGAAGGGAGUAAUUG